UGAUUUUGGCUCAGGUCAUGAUCUCAUGGUUUGUGAGCUCGAGCCCCUCCUUGUGUUCUUUGCUGACAGCUGGCAAGCCUGGAGCCUGCUUCAGAUUGUGUCUCCCUC